CCCCUAGGUUCAGAGGUGAUGAUGCAGAACAUGCCCAUUCAGAAAUCUUUGUACACUUGCCCUGCUACUGCAAAUGUGUGGAUGUCACAGAUGCCUUUCAGCACCUUGGAUGGUAACUGAACUGCAAGAGCAAGAGUGGUAUACUGUUCUCAGAACUCCUGGGAGAACCAGCGCUGAAUAGAAGACAUUAAAAUCAUUUCCCAGAUUCUAUCUGGGACUUCUCUCAGCAUCUACAGUUUCCUUGCUUUGGAAUACCAAACCAUCCCUGCAGCCCUCUCUCUCUGGAAUAUUUCUGCACUUGACUGACUCCUUUCUCCCAGAGAUGAGUUCCUUUUGAAUUCUCCAUUUUGUGAAAUGGCAUAGACCCAAACCCAGGUGAAGAAAUUUCCGAGUUCAGACCAAAGGAAUAACAAUCAGAAUUUGCCCUGGAUCCAACCCCCUUAGGAGCACUGAAAGUUUGCAUGUCCCCAGCAUCUUCUUGAGAUACUGAGACACUUAAUACUCCAAGAAGGCAAGCAGCAACAGGACCAGUCCGAACAUUCCCUCCAGAAGGGAACAGAGUAACCUGAACACCAAGUCUGAAGUCAGCAGCCUGAAAGAAUUUACAAACAAAGAAAACAAAAGUAUCCUACCUUAAUUAUGGCAAGGUUGCUCAAGACAACAAAUGCUGAAGAGAAUGAUUCCAAAACAUCUACAACUAUUGUCUCAGAGAAAAACACAGGUUGGGCAUUAAAAACUAGAAUUCCUAGAAGAUAUGAAGCAAGAGUUUAAAAAUAUCUUUAUGAAUGGACAAUGAGAGCUUCAGGGGGAAAUAGAAAAGAAAUGAGAGUAAUUGAAGAAAUAACUGGAAAGGUAGUUAACAGCUUGGCACAAGAGCUAAGAAAAAAGAAAAAGAAAAAAAAACCUAUCCAAGCAACAAACACUUUGAAAAUUAAAAUGGAACAAAUAGAAGCUAAUGACUUCAUGAGGCAAAAAGAAAUAUUAAAACAAAGUCAAAAGGCUGAAAUUAAAAAAAGAAGUAAGGUUAUCACAAAGCAAAAACAAAUUACUUGGAAAAGAGAUCCAAGACAGAAAAUUUAUGAGCUAAUGGAUUAUCUGAAUGUCAUGACUGCAAAACAGCAAAUUGCCCAAGGAAAGCUGAGUGCUUUUGGGUGUGGGAUUGGAAUUACCUUCAUACUGUACAAUGUGGACAAAACUGGAAUUAAUCAAUACAUAUUUAUUGAGUGUGUACCAUGUGCCAGGCACUGUGCUAGAUGCUGGAGAAACAAAGAUGAAAAAGGAAGAUCCCUGCCUUCAAGGAGUCUAUAUUUUAUAAGGGCUGAAGACAUGAACACAUGCAAGAGCAAACAAAAGGAACCUAAGAUAAUUUUGGUGGGAAGCACUAGCAGGCCUCCCUAAGAUGGUGUGUCAUACUUCUGUGAUCUUUCAUGCUGUCUGUCUAACCCGGCUUCACUUUUGGUGCUGGUGGUGGAGAGUAUACAGUGUGAUUUGCCCUGUGCCCUGAACCUGCCUCAGCCGGCUCUAAUGAGUAUAUCACCGCA
rnacentral:lncRNA from 1 species